GGAAGGUUCUAUAGUGUUAUAUUACAGUCUCCAGUAGGUUGCGGUGCGGGAUUGCUGGUCUGUCAGACAUGGAGUCCCAACUGGAGAUGUACAAAGUCACUUGCGCUAUCCCUGGCUUUUCAGUCAUGAUUUCUGAUGUAGAAGUGUUUGAAAUUUACCACCAGAGGGCCAUGAACAGGUGAUGUGCUGCACCAGUGUUUGGUGUAAGAUCAUGCCUGGUUGAAGAUGGAAGUACAGGUCAUUUAAGGACUGAAGAAAUUUCCCAGAUGUAG